GAUGAACGCUAGCGGCAGGCUUAAUACAUGCAAGUCGAGGGGCAGCACGGGUAGCAAUACCUGGUGGCGACCGGCAAACGGGUGCGGAACACGUACGCAACCUUCCCAAAACUGGUGAAUAGCCCUCCGAAAGGAGGAUUAAUACACCGUACCAUAAUGAGAUGGCAUCAUUUUAUAUUAUAGGCAGCGAUGUCGGUUUG
rnacentral:rRNA from 1 species